rnacentral:rRNA from 1 species
AUUGAACGCUGGCGGCAGGCCUAACACAUGCAAGUCGAGCGGAUGAGGGGAGCUUGCUCCCUGAUUUAGCGGCGGACGGGUGAGUAAUGCCUAGGAAUCUGCCUGGUAGUGGGGGAUAACGUUCCGAAAGGAACGCUAAUACCGCAUACGUCCUACGGGAGAAAGCAGGGGACCUUCGGGCCUUGCGCUAUCAGAUGAGCCUAGGUCGGAUUAGCUAGUUGGUGAGGUAAUGGCUCACCAAGGCGACGAUCCGUAACUGGUCUGAGAGGAUGAUCAGUCACACUGGAACUGGGACACGGUCCAGACUCCUACGGGAGGCAGCAGUGGGGAAUAUUGGACAAUGGUCGAAAGCCUGAUCCAGCCAUGCCGCGUGUGUGAAGAAGGUCUUCGGAUUGUAAAGCACUUUAAGUUGUGAGGAAGGGCUGCUGGUUAAUACCCUGCAGUUUUGACGUUACCAACAGAAUAAGCACCGGCUAACUUCGUG